rnacentral:misc_RNA from 1 species
AACUUUUAGCAACGGAUCUCUUGGUUCUGGCAUCGAUGAAGAACGCAGCGAAAUACGAUAAGUAAUGUGAAUUGCAGAAUUCAGUGAAUCAUCGAAUCUUUGAACGCACAUUGCGCCCUGUGGUAUUCCGCAGGGCAUGCCUGUUCGAGCGUCAUUUAACCACUCACGCCUAGCGUGGUAUUGGGGCACGCGGUCUCGCGGCCCUCAAAAUCAGUGGCGGCGCCGGUGGGCUCUAAGCGUAGUACAUACUCCCGCUAUAGAGUUCCCCCGGUGGCUUGCCAGAACCCCCAAUUUUUACAGGUUGACCUCGGAUCAGGUGGGGAUACCCGCUGAACUUAAGCAUAUCAAUAAGCGGAGGCU